rnacentral:misc_RNA from 1 species
AAGGAUGAUCAAGAAUGGAGUGUUCUCCUUUUUGAUCGCGUUAGACAUCAGUUUUAUUCACAUUUAAACUUGUCUCAAGUUAAUAAUAAACUUGUCUCAAGUUAAUAACUUGUCUCAAGUCAAAUGUUUUGAAUAAAACCUUUUAAAUCAGCCUAUAGUCACUAUAGGUUAAGCAGGCUUGCCGCCUUCGUUUCUCUUU